GGAGAGGUCGCAUAGUCUGGUUUAGUGCGCACGCCUGGAGAGCGUGUGACCACCUAAAAGUGGUCCGUGGGUUCAAAUCCCACCCUCUCCG
rnacentral:tRNA from 1 species